rnacentral:rRNA from 1 species
UACAGAGGUCUCAAGCGUUGUUCGGAAUUACUGGGCGUAAAGGGCGCGUAGGCGGUUCGUUAAGUCCUGUGUGAAAUCCCUGGCUCAACCUGGGAACUGCAUUUGAGACUGCAUGGCUAGAGUAUGGAAGAGGGAAGUGGAAUUUCCGGUGUAGCGGUGGAAUGCGUAGAUAUCGGAAGGAACACCAGUGGCGAAAGCGACUUCCUGGUCCAAUACUG